CAAAGUGGAGGUCGAGCCAGGCCUAGGAGGAAAGAGAGGGCAACUGCGGACGACCCCACCGCAGAAGAGGUGAAACCGACGGGCUCCAGGGCUUUUUCACUCAUUCCCUAGGCAUGUGGGACCUCGAAGAUGCCGAAUCAGCUAACGGGAGGUGGCUUGAGUAGGAUUUGCUGCCAGCUAAAGCGUGAGAUGCUAUUGCAUGUGCAAGGCAAGGCUUUCUUCAGCGGCAUCAUCUUCCAAAAUAGCCCAGGUGCCAUUCAUGCCACUGAUCUUUGUUGAGCUCCUACUGUAUGCCAGAUACGUCAGGACACAUUACUGCAAACAGAAACCUUGGUCUUCAUGGAGUGAGCAUGCCUUUCUCCUGAAAAAUAAAAAAUAGUUGGUGUUUACUGCAAUCGUAUGCCAAAUACUGUGUUGAGAGAUUAAUUUACAUGAACUCACAGAACCCUCAGGACAAGUUUAUGAGGUAUUUACCAACUAUGCUCUGCAGUAAGUAUUUAUUUAUUUAUUUAUUUGAGAUGGAGUCUCACUCUGUUUUCCAGGUGGAGUGCAGUGGUGCAAUCUCGGCUCACUGCAACCUCUGCCUCCCAGGUUGAAGUGAUUCUCCUACCUCAGCCACCCGAGUAGCUGGGAUUGCAGGCAUGUGCCACCAUGCCUGGCUAAUUUUUGUGUUUUUGGUAGAGAUGGGAGUUUCACCAUGUUGGCCAGACUGGUCUCGAACUCCUGACCUAAGGUGAUCCACCUGCCUCAGCCUCCCAAAGUGCUGGGAUUACAGGCGUGAGCCACCGUGCCUGGCUGCAGUAAACAUUCAGAAAUAUGAAGUAACUUGCCCGAGUUCAUAUGGUCGGUCUUGGGUAGAGGUGGAUUUUAUCUCUCAACUGUCUGACUCUGAAGGGAUUCUGAUUUCUGGAAAGUGUGGCAUGCAACCUGAGAGACUUAAUUUCUUUCUGGAAGAUUCCCUUAAGUUAUUCUGAUGCAGACCCAGGCCUGAGAACCACAGCCUCUCUGCCCACCACAUGAUGUCACCAUCCAUAAAACAUCUGCUCUCCAGCCUAAAUUUGCUCUCAGCUGAAAAGUAUUCUGUGCCCAUCACAUAUGAAGCCUGAAGCACGAUGCUGGCGCAGUGGACCCAACAAGAGCCCCUUCCUCUCCCCGCCUUGCCCCUUGGAGACGAGGCUCGAGGCUGAAGAAUCAAGGUGAUCAUCACAACAGCAGUAGCCUCCUAAGCACUCUCUGCAGCUCCACCCCAACUUCCCCUCCGGGCUCUUCUCUUCACAGGUGCCAUUCAUGCCACUGGUCUUUGUUGAGUUCCCACUAUAUGCCAGAUAUGCCAGGACACAUUACUGCAAACAGACAGAAACCUUGGUCUUCAUGGAGGUAACAGCUUAGGGGUUUGGGAGGGGUCAGUAAAAAAAAGAUAAACAAGAUAGUAAGUUAAAUAUGGAGAAAGGCAGAUGAUGAUAAGCUGUUAAGAAAGAAGGAUAGGGCCGGGUACAGUGGCUCCUGCCUGUAAUUCCAAUGCUUUGGUAGGGCAAACUGGGAGAAUCGCUUGAGGCCUGGAGCUCAAGAGCAGCCUGGACAACAUAGCAAGACUCCAUUUCUUAAAAAAAAAAUUUUUUUUUUUGAGACAGAGUUUCGCUUUUGUUGCCCAGGCUGGAGUGCAAUGGUAUGAUCUGGACUCACUGCAACCUCUGCCUCCCCAGUUCAAGCGAUUCUCCUGUCUCAGCCUCCCUAGUAGCUGGUAUUACAGGUGCAUGCCACUACACCCAGCUAAUUUUUGUAUUUUUAGUAGAGACGGGGUUUCAUCAUAUUGAUCAGGCUGGUCUUGAACUCCUGACCUCAGGUGAUCCACCCGCCUCGGCCUCCCAAAUUGCUGGGAUUACAGGCCUGAGCCACUGAGCUUGGCCACAAAAAAAAAGAAAAAGAAAUUAACAAAAUAGCCAGACAUGUUGGCGCCCAGUUGUACUCUCAGCUACUUCAGAGGCAGGCUAAGGCAGGAGAAUCCCUUGAGCCCAGGAGUUCGAGGCAGCAGUGAGCUAGGAAUGUGCCACUGCACUCCAGCCUGGAUGACAGAGUGAGACAGAGAGAGAGAGGAAAGAAGAGGGAAGGAAGGAAGGAAGGAAGGAAGGAAGGAAGGAAGGAAGGAAGGAAGGAAGGAAGGA